rnacentral:rRNA from 1 species
GGCUCAGAACGAACGCGGGCGGCGUGGAUAAGACAUGCAAGUCGAGCGAUUACUACGGGGUAGCAAUAUUCUGUGGUGAGAGCGGCGCAAGGGUGCGUAACACGUGGGUAAUCUGCCAUGAAGUUUGGGAUAACCCCGAGAAAUCGGGGCUAAUACUGGAUGUGACCAUUUGGAGGCCUCUCUGGAUGGUUAAAGUUGGGGACCGUAAGGCCUGACGCUUCAUGAUGAGCCCGCGGCCUAUCAGCUAGUUGGUGAGGUAACGGCUCACCAAGGCUAAGACGGGUAGCUGGUCUGAGAGGACGACCAGCCACACUGGAACUGAGAGACGGUCCAGACACCUACGGGUGGCAGCAGUCGAGAAUUUUUCACAAUGGGCGCAAGCCUGAUGGAGCGACGCCGCGUGGGGGAUGAAUGGCUUCGGCCCGUAAACCCCUGUCAUUUGCGAGCAAAGCGCAUUAUUUAAAAGAUGAUGUGUUGAUAGUAGCGAAAGAGGAAGGGACGGCUAACUCUGUGCCAGCAGCCGCGGUAAUACAGAGGUCCCGAGCGUUGUUCGGAUUCACUGGGCGUAAAGGGUGCGUAGGUGGUGAGGCAAGUCGGAUGUGAAAUUCUGGAGCUUAACUCCGGAACGGCAUUGGAAACUGCCUUGCUGGAGGGUUGGAGGGGGGACUGGAAUUCUCGGUGUAGCAGUGAAAUGCGUAGAUAUCGAGAGGAACACCGGUGGCGAAGGCGAGUCCCUGGACAACACCUGACACUGAGGCACGAAAGCUAGGGGAGCAAACAGGAUUAGAUACCCUGGUAGUCCUAGCCGUAAACGGUGCACGUUUGCUGUAAGAGGAAUCGACCCCUUUUGUGGCGAAGCCAACGCGAUAAACGUGCCGCCUGGGAAGUACGGUC